rnacentral:tRNA from 1 species
UGGGUGUAGCGCAACUGGGCAGCGCGCCGCGUUCGGGACGCGGAGGCUGGGCGUUCAAAUCGCCCCAUCCA